UGUUGACGAUGACAAAUUUCUCAAAACAUUCGCAGUGGUCGCCUAAGAGCUUUCGCCUUUGCCGGGCUUGAGAGCUAGUGCUGUUCAACCCUUCCUUGGAUGUCUGAAACA